rnacentral:rRNA from 1 species
UAUUGCACAAUGGGGGAAACCCUGAUGCAGCCAUGCCGCGUGUGUGAAGAAGGCCUUCGGGUUGUAAAGCACUUUCAGUAGGGAGGAAAGGUAGCAGCUUAAUACGCUGUUGCUGUGACGUUACCUACAGAAGAAGGACCGGCUAACUCCGUGCCAGCAGCCGCGGUAAUACGGAGGGUCCGAGCGUUAAUCGGAAUUACUGGGCGUAAAGCGUGCGCAGGCGGUUUGUUAAGCGAGAUGUGAAAGCCCCGGGCUCAACCUGGGAAUUGCAUUUCGAACUGGCGAACUAGAGUCUUGUAGAGGGGGGUAGAAUUCCAGGUGUAGCGGUGAAAUGCGUAGAGAUCUGGAGGAAUACCGGUGGCGAAGGCGGCCCCCUGGACAAAGACUGACGCUCAGGCACGAAAGCGUGGGGAGCAAACAGGAUUAGAUACCCUGGUAGUCCACGCCGUAAACGAUGUCUACUCGGAGUUUGGUGUCUUGAACACUGGGCUCUCAAGCUAACGCAUUAAGUAGACCGCCUGGGGAGUACGGCCGCAAGGUUAAAACUCAAAUGAAUUGACGGGGCUGCC